rnacentral:rRNA from 1 species
AGUGAACGCUGGCGGUAGGUCUAACACAUGCCAGUCGAACGGCAGCACAGUAAGAGCUUGCUCUUAAGGGUGGCGAGUGGCGGACGGGUGAGGAAUACAUCGGAAUCUACUUUUUCGUGGGGGAUAACGUAGGGAAACUUACGCUAAUACCGCAUACGACCUACGGGUGAAAGCAGGGGAUCUUCGGACCUUGCGCGAUUGAAUGAGCCGAUGUCGGAUUAGCUAGUUGGCGGGGUAAAGGCCCACCAAGGCGACGAUCCGUAGCUGGUCUGAGAGGAUGAUCAGCCACACUGGAACUGAGACACGGUCCAGACUCCUACGGGAGGCAGCAGUGGGGAAUAUUGGACAAUGGGCGCAAGCCUGAUCCAGCCAUACCGCGUGGGUGAAGAAGGCCUUCGGGUUGUAAAGCCCUUUUGUUGGGAAAGAAAAGCAGCAGGUUAAUACCCCGCUGUUCUGACGGUACCCAAAGAAUAAGCACCGGCUAACUUCGUG